rnacentral:rRNA from 1 species
UACGGAGGGUGCAAGCGUUAUCCGGAUUCACUGGGUUUAAAGGGUGCGUAGGCGGGCAAGUAAGUCAGUGGUGAAAUCUCCGGGCUUAACCCGGAAACUGCCAUUGAUACUAUUUGUCUUGAAUACUGUGGAGGUCAGCGGAAUAUGUCAUGUAGCGGUGAAAUGCUUAGAUAUGACAUAGAACACCAAUUGCGAAGGCAGCUGGCUACACAAAUAUUGACACUGAGGCACGAAAGCGUGGGGAUCAAACAGG